CACCUGGCUUCAGGAAGCUCCCAGUCAAGGACAUCUCCUAAUCACUUCAUUGGACAAAGAGCCUCAGGGUAACCUGCUCCCCAGGAAGAUCUCCCCAGGAAGGGUACCCCAGCUGACCUCAUUUGUAAAUGGGGAUAAAAAUCCAAUCUAGCUUAUAGGGCUGUUGUGAGGAUUAAAAAUGAACAAUAUGAAGUGCUUAGAAUGGGACCUGGGAUUGAUUCUGCCAGAGGCAAGAGAGGGCAACUGAGCAGGAGCCAGCACUCCCUGAGCAUGGGCAGUGGGUUGGGCCCGCAGAUAUCCGGGAAAGACUGAGUCUCCCCGUGGUUCUGGCACUAGACUUUACUCUUGGCAGUGGGGGAUGUCGGCCCCCAUCUCUCACUGGCCCAGGAAGGCAUCCCUUCAUGUGUGAAACUGCUAGGACAGAAUCAUGAACAUUCCCCAACAUUGGCAGUCUCUGCCCCAGCCAGGAGGGCAGCUGUUGGGAGGGGAGAGGGAGGUGCGGAGCCACAGGGGUGAGGGAGAGCCAGCUGACGGGGUGUGGAGCCAAGAGCCCCACCUUCCGCGGAGCUCUGGAUGAAGCCAUCCAGUGCCAACACCCCACCGCCCGCCUGCGUGGGUUCUCAUUAGGCUUAUUAGCAGCCAAAUAGCAACAAGCAAACAGCACAGGGACCAGUUAAUGAGCACACAGCCCUGCCACGGGCGAGCCAACUUCAAGUGGGAGAGGCUGUUGCCCACUGGCAACCCCCUUCAGGAGAGCAGCUGGCCUGUAUGCCUGGGUCAGGAUGGAUGACCGGGGGCAGCAGGGUGAGACGGCCAGGGAGAGAAAUACCAGGGGAGAAGGUACUGGCAGCAUCCUACCUCAGCAUCCUGGCGCAGCACCCACUGGGG
rnacentral:lncRNA from 1 species